CGUCAUUUUGAGUUAUCCCUGCCAGGGGAUCUGUUACUCCCACUAGACACCCAGGAAGAUUUGGCGUUACUUGACAACAGUAUGUGGAAGGAUAAAGAGCUCCAUGUACAAUUUGGACCUAAAGACAACCGUGUGGUGAAUGCUUCAGGGUAUCUUCUCUAAUCACCUUUCCAUCAAUAUAACCUGGUCUGGUGUAGGUGAUAAAGCAUGUUUUAGAGACAUGUUCCUGAAGACCAUUGUUCAAAGAGCCAUCCGGAAGAACCCGGCGACCCAGGAUGCCACUGAUGAGGCGAUCCAGGUUAACGUAACACAUCACCUGAAAGGAGCAUCUGACCGUACAGGUGGAAAAAGGCACCGCUGAGUGGGACCCACAGCCGACCCCUUAAACCUAGGCUGACUACUGACACCCCAGCAUCACUUGACAACUGGAACCCUUUUUUUAUCCUGCAGACAGUAACUUCAAGACAUCUAAAAAAGGCUUAUAGCUUGUAAAUCCUAGAUUAUACAUCUAAUACUUGAUUUCUGCACAUUAUCUGGUAUCAAAUAUUCUACUUGCCGUGACUUUAGUAUUGGCUUAUUUCAUUUCGUCAGUGCUUAACGAUUCUACAUGCUCUAUGCACGAACCCUGCUGACGUAUGUCCGAAAGAAUCUCAGCCAGCUUCUUUACUUCCACAAGCGCAUUCUGCAGGCAAAGUAUAUAGCGGCAAAACUUUAAUAAAAUUCAUUUUCUUUCACUUUUCAAUUCCUCACAGUGUUGUUAACAUCAUU